rnacentral:tRNA from 1 species
GCCCUUGUAGCUCAAUGGAUAGAGUUGGCGCGUCCUAAGCGCUCGAUGGCGGUCCGAUUCCGCCCAAGGGUA